AGGAUAUUAGUUUAAUGGUAAAACCAAACACUACGGAUGUUUUAAUAAUAGUUCGAAUCUAUUAUGUCCUU